UAACGGCCAUAAAUUUGACAAUAUGAAGUAGAAGCUGAAAAAAAAAAAUCUAAAUAGGAAACUAUUAUCAGUUUAAAAUUUUUAUAUUUACUACAUAAAUUCUGAUAUUCCCAGAAUGUGCAAAAAUAUUUCCUGCUCUGAGGGCUUAGAAAGCUCAGAACAUUUGAGGUGUAAAUUGACCAAAUAUUUAGACAUUAUUUGCUGGGCCUAUAAUUCUUCCCUUUGGUUGGAGGUUAAAUAUGAAAAGAAUAGGAAACUAUACAAUUGAGAUAUUUUUGCUUGCCUAUUUUCAAACUAGAUUCCAUGAGUCUUAAGGUAAUCACCCAGAAAAUGUCUUUGCAUGAAUUAAUGUUACCAAAAAUAAGAUUUAGAUCCUUACACUAUGACUUUGUGCUUAAUAAUAUAUUUCAGUGCCCUUAAACUCUGAUCUUAAUUAGGAGAACUUCUUAAUAAAUUAUAAUUAAGCUGUUAAAAUGAAUUUUGGAAUCUGUUAAACAAAAUAAAUUUUGGAAUCUAAAAUCUAAAAAAUAAAACCAUUUCCUAACACAGAAGAAGAUGUCAACAAGUAUUUGUUGAAUGAACAGAUUGCAUUAGAGAUCAUGGAAAAUAUUUUUUUUAAAUAUGGUAACACUCCCAGCUUCCUGGCACCAGAAAGAGGUGAUAUGUUUAUUUCAUAUUUAUUUUAUGUUUUAUUUGGUCAGUUUGUUGCCUGGAUGCAAAAGGAAGGCAUUUUACAUCUUUCUAGCUUUACUGCAUUCUAAAACCCCCAAAGAAGUAACAAUUCAAGAAAGAUGAAAAGAUUUGGAACAUGUUAACACUGUAUUCAAAUAUUAAUAUACCAACUGUUUCAAGUAGGAAACUCAAUUAGUAUUUAAGGAGAAUACAAAGUGCAAGCACUGUGAAGGGCACAUAUUCAUUACCAAACUAUGCAUGGGGAGAAAUAGCUGUUUUUUUUUGCUUCCUAACUGCACUCCUUUUUAUCGCAAACAUCAGUCUAUCAAGAUGGUAUUUUUUUUCCUGAAUGUCUCUCAUCGAGAGAUUUUGUAGCAUUUUGCAAAUGGGUAAGCUCUGCUACUAUCAAAAGUGUUCUUUCUCUCAGUAAUUCAUAUUGAAUGUAUCCAUAUCCAUAAGGAUUUUACAAAAGAGUUUACAACAUCAAUGAGAAAUAGCCCACCAAACCAGAAAUAUGAAUAAUGCUAAACUGAGUUAUUGGUUGAAAAAAACUGUAAUUUUGAGAAAGCCACUUAACUUCUCUGGACUUUUUUUGUUUGUACUGGCCCUUUUAGUGUCAUUAUCCUCUCACCUAAGAUCUAAAUUGAUAUUUGCAUGUAUUUGCAAAUGCAAUUCCAAUGACCACUGCAAAAUAAUAUUUUGGAGGUAAAUAUUCCAACAAGAUUUCCCUCUUAUUUCUCUGAUUAGAUGUUUGAAGUAUAAAACUGAUUAUUUGAGCUAACAUCUGGAAAGAACCUAAUCCAAGGCUUAGAAUAUAGCAAGUGCUCAGUUAAUUAACUCUCCUCCUUUUACUUCUUCCUCCCCUUGGUUCUCUACCUUUGCAAAUUCAUCAUCUAACUACUCACUGAGACCUUAAUUUCCCUAAGAAAAAUAACCCUAUAUUGAGUAUUAUUAUAACACGUUAGAUUUUUCUAUACCAUCUACAUUCUUAUUACAAUAAUCUGAAAAUCUUUACUGAUGCAAAAUUUCAGGGAGGCAAUGAAGGCACAUAGCAAAUCCCCAGAUAACAAACAGUAAAAUAAGGAGGCUAAUUUGACUAAGCCAGAAUGAAUAAAUCUAGACAAUUUAGUUAUUUUUUAACUCAUGGUAAUAUAUAUUUAUUCAUUUGAUUUCUAUUUAAAAUAUUUUAUGAAGAAUUUAAAAAGAACUUCUCCAACAUCAACUGCCUUUUGUUAGUGUUAGUGAAAAGCCUGGUUCCCAGGUCACCUGAUCUAGAUUCACAAGUAUUUAUGAAUAAUACUGAUUCCUGGGCCUUGCUCAUGCAAUUGGAAUAUCUUCAAAUGAGUCCAAAAAAUGAUUUAAUGUAUGUUCUAAGUUAUUCUGUUCCAUGCUAGAGUUUGUGUACCACCCAUAGCCAAUAAUUCUCAAACACAUAUAUGUCUUUGGAACUUUCUGGGUCAGUGGCAUAAGAAUCACUUGAAGAAGUAUUAAUAAUACUUUUGAUUCUCUGGGUCUGGGAUGGGAACUGGAAUCUGGAUUUUAAAAAUUCCCCUGUAUAGUUCUGAUGUGCUGUCAGGUUUUGAGAUCUGUGCCUUAGCCACCUGUUAAAUGGGAAGUAUUCUAUUGCUCAGUUGAUAUGAACUAUCACCUUUCUUAAGUUCAGUGGGAAUCUUCCAGGUAUGUCAGUACUCAUUCCUCUAUUUCAAGAUCCAAAACAUUGUCUAUGCCUAAUUACUUCAUGCCUGAGCAUAGUACUGACGAAUAAGUCUCUUGAUUUGGAGCAGGUUGUUUACAGUCUCCAGAACUUCUUUCAAGUUUUGAGUGGCUCAUAGCAGAUUUCUCAAGCUUGGAGGCACAUCUAAAUUAUCUGGAAAAGACUUAAAAUUGUGGCUUCCCAAUCCCUCCUCCAGAGUUCUUACCCAGUUGCUUUGAGAUAGGACCCAGAGGUGAACAGUUGUAAAGGCUCCACAGGUAAUAUUGACAUGGGGCUACCUCUGUGAAUCAGAGUCCACACAAAAGACAUGGACAGUUCUUGACCUGGAGGAAUUAGUAGGACAAGGAAAGAUUGCAUACCUAGAAAAAAUAUCUCUCAGUCUCUUUCUGGGUUCUAACUUGAUGUUUAUAUUUUGCAACAGAAAGUCUAGAAUACCCAAUUACUAAAAUCCUUUACAGACAAAAUCUUAGGCUUCUAUGAUCUGCUUAUCUGCUGCAUAUGUUUAAGAGACCUCUUUCCCAGGUUCCAAAGUCCUUGCUUGAUGGGUGGAAAAGUAAUUUGCAACUGGGAGAUAGCAACAAGCUGUAUUAUAUGGAUUUUUUAAAAAAUUGAAGUAUAGUUGAUUUACAAUAUUAUAUUAGGUAUACCACACAGUGAUUCAGGGUUUUUCUAGACUGCCCUCCAUUUAAAUUUAUUGCAAAAUAAUGGCUGUUUUUCCCUGUGACUUACAAUAAGCAACAAGGAUAUAUUGUACAGCACUGGAUUUUUGAUGAACACAAAUUUAGAAUUGAAUUCCAGUUCUGCCACUCACUGUGUGUGGAUUACAUGACUUCUCUUAGCUGCAGCUUUUGCCUCUGUAAAGUGAAGGUAACAUAUUCCUGAUGUGUUUUUUUGUGAAGACAAAUGAAAUGACAUUUAAGUGAUGAGACAAAGUAAACCCAAUUAGUAUGGUUUACCAUAAUGAAAGAACAUUGUGAGGAAUCCAAAAUUAUUUUCACAAUUGGGUUCUAAAACUCUGAAAACUUUGAGCAGACAGUUUAUCAGAAUCAUUGCAAAUUUAAAUAAGCCAAAGGAAUAAUUUUCAGGAGAGGAGAAACAAAUACAUAGAGUGUGGAAGCAUGCAUUCACGUCUAAGUAAUGCAAGGGGUGUGGGGAGCUGGCAUAGUGCAUAGGCAUUAUCUACAUUACUAAACACAUACACCAUUUCUUAAAAAUAAUUGUAACCGAAAGCAUGCCUAAUUCUCUAUGAACAAUCAGUAAAUUAAUAGUCACUUUAGCUUAUUAUCAGUUGGCAUAGCUCAAGUCACAAAAUGGAAUAGCAGGAAGAUUCCCGAGAUCAUUUUCUGGUAAGGAAAGGGGCCUUAGAAAUAUGCAACAACUUAAUUCCUUUAGCCAUACAACUAGCUAAUGAUAUAAAUUAAGAAACAGAAUUAAGUCUCUGUCUAUUUUUCCUAAAGGUAAGAAAAAAGGUGAGUUAUUUUUUAAAUGUUAGGGUAUACAUUCAAUUAGCAGGAAUGUAUUUGUUUAGUGGCACAGAAAUAAAAUAAUUCUUAGCCAGGCUGUGAUUAAGACUCCUCUAAUUGUUAAUUGCACAAUAAAAAGAGUUUUGACACAAAUAAUCUCACUGUUCAUGUGCACAACUUCCAAGUUGUACCGUCAUUAAACAAAAAGUAGACCUAAGGAAAAUUUUCAUUUUUAAUGUGUAAAAAAUGAAUGAUAUUCAAAAUGGUAUUCUUGAGUAGUUCCUAGUUGUGUCACUUUAAAGAACAUCAGAAAUGUUUAUUAUUCCAGAUACUACAUUAGAAAAUUUCAAAAACUGAAUUAAGUCAUUUUUAUCUUAUGAUAUCUCUGGCAACCAAAUGGUUGAAUUAAUUGUAGAUAUAAAGUAUGUUAAAUUAGAGCUUGCUGGAAUUUCAUUAUGAAAAACAAAUGGAAGUUUUAUCUGGAAAACUUUAAGGGCGAUUUCUACAGAAAGGUAUGGUAACUGCAGUGGCUUUCUACACAUGGCUGUGUUCCACUUUGAUUAAUGAGAAUGCAAGGAGGUAGAAAAGCAGGCUCGGCAGAAACAGUACCCAUGCUAAAUUAACAACCCAGUGCUACUCAUUAUGCAAGAAAUACUUGCCAGAGUUACAAUGGUGCAUCCUCUGAUCUCAGAUGGGCGUCAUUAGCCACCUUCAGUCCCUCGGAUAAGACAAUCCAGAAUAUGCCAUUCUCAUCCAAGGCAAGAUUGCCAGAAGAGAGCUCACUAUCAAGAAGGGCAGAAUAUGUGUCUCCAGGGAUUGUAAUGAGCUCAGGCCUUUCAUAUCUUGUUGCCAAGAGCCCUUAAGCAAAUUGAAAAAAUCUGGUGGUCUGUAUGAAACUGAGAGCAGUAUACUUUCUAGAUAACAGAUGACCUAUCUUGAAUAUGUUAUACAUUAUUUUAAAAUAAUGAAUCAAAGGACAAAGACUAUCAUACUUGUGACCAAGAGUUUACCUAAGAGGAAAAAAUAAAACAAAGCAAAAAACUUUCAGCUCGUAGAUGCUCUACACUCAAAUCAAUAAGAGCUCUUGCCCUGGAAGAUUAAUAGGCUAUGUGGCACUAGAAAUGGAGACAGAAAAAAAAAGUUAUGAAAAUAAUGACAUGGAUUUUUAUUCUUAAAAUAAAAAUUCACAUCUCUAGAGCUAUCAGCAUGAUGGCAGCCUUCACAUAAACCAUAUAUUUGUCCAUGUGCCUUUUUCCCCCUCUUUUAAGUUUUUCACUUUUUAAAAAUUUUUUAGGUUUGGUAGGAGUCAGGGUUAGUGGAGUAAUUGUGACAAAUAAAAAACAUUUCCAUAAAUCCUGUGCCAGAUGAAAGUAUGAAGCAACGUUACAGGAGGAAAUGCAACUGGUCAAAAUUAUUUGAGUGAAAUUAUUGAAUAUUUAUCAUCUUCAUUGGAAGACUGUGGUUUAUUCUGAAUCCAAAACAACAAUGUGUACAUAAUAGAUGUUUUUAAAGGGAAAAAGUAAAGAGCUAACAAGUCCGUAGGUAGAUUCAAGUUCACAAAGCUGCAGAAAGGAGAAAAAUGGCAACAACAAACAAGAAAGGAGUCAAGAUCAGAACUCAAGCUCCAGUUUACACAGUCUAUUGUAUAUGUAAUUCACUAGCUCUUCUGGACCACACAUUUCUCAUCUGGCAAUAGAGUGCAGUAGACAUUACUUUAUGAUCACCUAAGAAACUUUUAAACGUCUAGGUUGUUGAUUAGACAUCCUGGGCUAAUUAGCCUGGCACAGGACAUGAGCCACUUCUAGAAUAUUUCUUCUUUUCUUCCUACUCCCUUCCAUGUGAUCAUGUGGAUGCUCUGUGAGCCAGAGAAACAGGGAAAAGAAGUUAGCAGGCAAUUUCUUUAGGAGCUCUAACUAAAGUGUUGCUGAAGAAGAAAGCUUCAGUGGAUCUUUACAGACAAAGAAUAGGGACCCGACAUGCUUCCCUCCUCCCAUUUCCUCAAGAACACACUUAGAGCCUCACCCACAUCUAUCCUUUUUUUUAAAUGUAGUUCUAGUAUCACCUUGAAUAGAACGAAGUACAUUCAAAUAAGGAAGCGCAAAACUAUCAUACUGAAACAAAAUGUGCCAAUUCUAGCCAAUAUGUGACUUGUAAGGGUCAGUAAUACUGAAGGAUUUGAAUGAUAAUUGUAUGUUUUAUUCAUGUAAUGUGAUUUUGCACUAUUGUAUCGUCAUAGUUAAACAGACUCUUAAAAAACCCCAAAACCUAAAUGCCAAAUGUACAGUUUAUAAAUUCAUGUUAUUUCUGAUAAGGAUUUAAUUGCAUUGUGCUAAUAGUUGUUUAAUGCUCUUAAGUUUAAUGCUCUUAACUUUCUGUAUGUGUAUUAUUGCCAUGCAGAUCCAAUAGGGUUGUUGUAAGCACACUAAUUAGUCAUCUGAAUUUUUAUAGAUAAAAGUCACACAUUGAUCAGAAAUCACUUUUCUACUUAUUUUUUUGUAGAGUAUUUUUCCACACUUGAAAAAAAACAUGAUUAUUUUAUAUCAAACAUCAGCUUUUCUUUAAAAUCUUAUUUUAGUAGCCAGUGCAUGUUUGAAAUAAGAUGUGUUAGAAACUAUAUGACGAUAUUAAGAUUGUGACGACAUUAGGUGAAAAAAUGCAUGCCAUUGGUGAAUCAUGCAACUCUGGGGGAAUUUACAGUGCCAGCUCACCCACAGACUUCAUCUCAACCCAUGUGCAUGAUUCACAUUCUUUCAAAAGUCCUUAUUAAACGUUAGCAGUGAAAAUGUUACUCUUAAUGCAAAUAAGUCCAUAGACAAUGCUGCUUUGCUUAUUUUCUAACUUUGCAGCGUAUUGUGGUAAAUUCCAUUCCCCUCAAUUUUCUUCUUGGAGUUUCUUGUUGGCAAUAAAAUACAACAAAUAAAAUCAUUUGUUGGCAAAUGAUACAAUUUACUGUAUAGCAAUUUACUAUAAUAAAGCAUGAAGAUGUGAAAAAAAUAAUCUUAAUUUGUUCCAUACUAUGAACACAAUAUUCUGGCAGCUUUUUCUACAAUCAAGAAUGGUAUGUCUGUGGGAGUUUCCGUUGUGGCUCAGCAGGUUAUGAACCCAAUUAGUACCCAGGUUUGAUCCCUGGCCUCACUCAGUGGGUUAAGGAUCUGGCGUUGGGGAGGUGUAGUGUAGGUCACAGAUGCAGCUCAGAUCCCACAUUGUUGUGGCUGCGGCAUAGGCCAGCAGCUGCAGCUCCCAUUUGACCCCUAGCCUGGGAACUUACUUAUGCCACAGGUGCGGCCC
rnacentral:lncRNA from 1 species